GACACGCUGGGCUCUUCUUCAGUCCUGUUCCCGCGUGCAAGUGCAUGCUGCUCUCAGAAGGCAGAAUGUUGGGCACUGGUUUUUGUUUGUUUGUUUGUUUUUUUGGCGAGGUGGAUCUAUCAGGGAUGGUGGGACAGCUCAGUAGCUAAUACCCACUAAGAGAAAUUAAUGGCUUUUUUGAUCAUCGAACAAAAAGCUCUGGGCUGAGUCACGUCUCAGAAGUUCCAGACAGCCAUGGACUACAACAAGCAGAUGUCCAACAGGAAGAGAACAUCUGUGAUGCUCGUUUCCAAUGUUUCCAGUGCCGCAGGAUCCUGUCACCUGGCUGAGUGGUGGGGAACAAAGGCUGCCUGGAUUUGGCACCUCCAGCCAUUCUGUGGCUUUCCCUUCUCAAUAAACCUUUGACAAAGGUCGGGUGUUUGAAAGGCUGGCUUUUUCCUUGUUGGGUCUAAGCGUUUCUUGCUCAGCAGAGCGAUUCAUUGUC